rnacentral:misc_RNA from 1 species
GAAGGGAAAAUGAAGAAGACUGGAAGCAGAGGAAGGCUAUCAAUGGAAGAGAAUAUUGAAGAAGAAGAAGAAGAAAGUUCAAGAUUUGACAUAGCCACAAUUCAAGCUAGAGAAGAAGAGAUUGAGAGGAAGAAGAUGGAGGUUAGAGAGAAAGUUCAACUUCAAUUAGGCCGUGCAGAAGAAGAAGCUAAACGCUUAACUCAAAUUUGGGAAGAGCUUGAAGUGCUGGUUGAUCCCAUGAGAAAAGAAGUUGGAUUUAUACGCAAGAGGAUAGACAUGGCUAAUAAAGAACUGAAGCCACUGGGACAGAGCUGCCAAAAGAAGGAGAAAGAAUAUAAAGAAGCACUAGAAGCUUUUAAUGAAAAGAACAAAGAGAAAGCUCAACUAGUUACCACAUUAAUGGAGGUAAUAUUAAUAUAUUUCCUUCUUUUUAAUUAAUUUUCAUUUUAGUAGUUCCUUCCUUUUAUCAUUUUCACCAUUUUCCUGUGUUCUUAUCAGCUGCUGACUGAGAGUGAAAGAUUAAGAAUGAAGAAACUGGAAGAACUGAGCAAGAAUGUAGAAUCCAAACCUUGACAUGUCUAUUGCAUUACACCAAUCAUUUUUCUAAUGUGUGGUUUUCCUUGAAUAAAGAUGUGUUUGGAAGUAGCCAAAAGUAUAUGGUCAGACUAAAAUUUAUCCUGAUUUAUUUUUACAAUUAGAAAAUAGAAUUUUGUUUGGCAUAAUAACAGAAAACAUUUGCACUCCAUGCAAUGCAUAGCCUCAUGUACCAUUUCAAUUAAUUGAUUCUAUUUUAAUGUAUUACAAGUCAAUUAUGACCAGUUUACUUUACUUUUAAUGUAAGAGCA